CUUUGAAAUUUAUUAUUUUUAUUUAUAAAUGAAAUAUAUAAAUUUUAACAAGUAUUUCAGUCAAUCAAUAAAUAAAUUACGUAUAUUAAUUCUUGAACAUUAGUUAUCAUAAAUUUUAACCUCUACAAAACGACAUUUCUCGAAAAGCGUCGAUGAAUGUAAUGUCAUGAAUUGUUAUACGAAUAUGCAACGUAAUAAUGGUGUUUUGAAAAUUAAUGUGGCGAAUACAAGGUUAGAUUGGAAUAUGACAUUUGUUCUGAAACUAUUAUAAUUUUUAUCUUCUUUAUUUUUACAAUAAAUCCAUUGAAGAGGAAUAUCAAUAUCAAAAGUUAUAACAGAAUUUUAUAUGAUUAAAACAAUUAU